rnacentral:rRNA from 1 species
GACUCCUACGGGAGGCAGCAGUGAGGAAUAUUGGUCAAUGGAGGCAACUCUGAACCAGCCAUGCCGCGUGCAGGAAGAAGGUUCUAUGGAUUGUAAACUGCUUUUGUACAGGAAGAAAUUAUCCCUCGUGAGGGAGUUUGACAGUACUGUAAGAAUAAGGAUCGGCUAACUCCGUGCCAGCAGCCGCGGUAAUACGGAGGAUCCAAGCGUUAUCCGGAAUCAUUGGGUUUAAAGGGUUCGUAGGCGGAUCAGUAAGUCAGUGGUGAAAGUUUGCGGCUUAACCGUAAAAUUGCCGUUGAUACUGCUAGUC